GAUGAAGAACGUAGCAAAAUGCGAUAAGUAAUGUGAAUUGCAGAAUUCAGUGAAUCAUCGAAUCUUUGAACGCACAUUGCGCCCGCCAGUAUUCUGGCGGGCAUGCCUGUUCGAGCGUCAUUUCAACCCUCAAGCCCUCGGGUUUGGUGUUGGGGAUCGGCGAGCCUUUCUGGCAAGCCGGCCCCGAAAUCUAGUGGCGGUCUCGCUGCAGCCUCCAUUGCGUAGUAGUAAAACCCUCGCAACUGGAACGCGGCGCGGCCAAGCCGUUAAACCCCCAACUUCUGAAUGUUGACCUCGGAUCAGGUAGGAAUACCCGCUGAACUUAAGCAUAUCAAUAAGCGAGGA
rnacentral:misc_RNA from 1 species